CGAGGAGGAAGGCGGAGACCUAUUUCUGGAAGUAAGCGAGCAGCAGAUUUGCGAACAAACUGGGCACCGGAGUAGUGCUGUCCGCAUCUACAAACGCACCAGCGACGAUCUAAAGUCCAAGGCUGGAAGGUCUAUCCCAAAAAGGGUCUCUCUACUUUACAUUUAACUUUCAUUAAAGGAUGUUACUGGC